AAACUAUUCAGUCCUCUUAAAUGUUCUGUCGUAUAGGAAAUGUCAUCCUUUGAAACGUUUAGUGAAAUGAGAUAGCUUUUUUUCAUAUAUGAAAUUCAACUAUUAAUAAUAUUUGGAUUCAAGGAGGAAACAUCAACUUAUGUUAGAAGCAUUAUUUGGCUAAAGCCUCAGAAUAAAAGAUUUUGUAGAACAAGUUUAUUUGUCUUUUUACUGUUUCUGUAUGGAAAUAUUAAUUAACCAUUUUUCAACUUAUCAUGAUUCGUUCUGGAUAGCGAACAUGUUAUGUCUAUGGUUUUACAUGAUGUUAAAAUAAAUGGUAGCGAUACUUUUUGUUAGGUCGUUUCUGAAUUCGAAAUUUCUCUUUAUUUCUUUGUUGAUUUUUGGGGAAAUCGACCUCAUCAUACAUUCGCAAAAGCGUGGCUUUGUUGUUGUAAUUAAGGGCCUUUAAGUCUAUUCCCUUAAACGCUUUGGUUAUUAGUGAAAAAAGAUCUUUUCGUUUUUGGUCUGUUAAAUUUGUGGUCUCCUCCUCGGACGCAGAGAAAGCAGCUGAGUUUGAGGUUUCAGUACCACUGUCAGCUGGUGUUGCUUUUGGAGGAGGAUGAAAAGCAAAAAUACCAUUUAGAAUUAAAGUUGCUGACGUCUGACAAUUAUUUUUAUUAAUAUUAUCCGAACCGCUUAUGUUUUUUUCAAAGUACGUCAAAUCUUCAACAUUUUCUGUUUGUGGAACGAACGGACCUGGCCCACUAUUUAAAUUAUCCCAUUUAAUGGUUCGAAAAAAAGGAUGUUUUUUGAUUUCCUGGUAUCCAUUGCUACCCAGCCGUUUGUUACAGUCUGGAUCCAUGAGUUUGGUGAUUAAGUCUACCGCCUCCUUUGAGCAGCUUUCUUUCACUCUUUUAGUCCAACCAAUAUCAUUUCUCUCUAUGCGAGCCCAUAUUGCUUUUACAGUAUUUGCUUCAAAUGGUCGCGUGCCAGUCAACAUUUCGAAUAUCACACAACCCAUCGCCCAUAUAUCGCCCAUCUGAGUAUCAACGCCCAUUAAAAUUUCUGGAGCCAUAUAAUUUGGCGUCCCUGAAAUAUCUUUUUUGAUGAAUGUCCGGUUUUCCUUUUUCUCUAACUGAUUCAUUAACAUGUGUAUUGCUGUUUCAUCCAUGUUAUUGAUAUCAAAGUCAAGUAAAUGCUGGACCGAGUCAUUGGCAUAAUCACUAUUUUGCUGUGGACUCUCCGCUUUCUCAAGCUCAUCAAUAUUCCCGCGGUAAUUUCGAACAUAUCUUACAAAUUCGAAUUUUUUAGGUUGAAGCUGCUCAUACAAAUUUCCAUGUUUCUGUUCAAAUGACAUCCUCUUAGUAAGCUUAUAAACCUCUUUUUUUUCCUCUACGUUUUCACUCAGUCCGAAGUCUGUAAGCCGAAUAUGUCCUGUUUCGUCAACCAACAUGUUGGCAGGCUUUAUGUCGUGAUGGAUGAUUCCAUCCUGAUGCAAAAGCUCGAUAGCAUUUAGUAAUUCAGCUGCGUACUGGCAAACCCAUUGCUCUGGUAACGGUCCUAAUUUUUGAAUAAGUGUUUCACAAUCUCCUCCAUUAAAAUAAUCCAUUACAAGGCAUAGGUAGUCCCCAGAAUCAAAUGCAUAAUAUAAUUUCACUGUGUUUGGUCCAUAUCUUUGGAUAUGCAUGUUACGCUUUUCAAGCAAUAGUCCUUUUAUUUUUUUUAAGCUAUCAAGACUGGAUUUUGGAAUCAUUUUAAGAGCAAAAUACUUUCCUGAAGAUCUUUUUUUAGCAAGAUAAACCCUACCGUAUGCCCCUCUGUUUAUUUCUUUUAAAAGUAUGAACUCGUCUAAUGAGUGAGGAGUAUUAUCCCCAAAUCUCCUAUCAUUAUGGCUUGGGAACUGCAUACUUUCGGUAAGAAAAUGAACGAUCGAGGCAUAGAAUUUGUUAACAAAUUUCUGCCGAUUUUUUAGAGGUCUCACAUCCAGAUCUUCAAUUGAUCCCUUUACCGCUUUAAAAUAAUCUAUCCUUGUUGUUUUAAAGGUUUUAGACACAAUUAAGUCUUUUUCUGUUAAGCGUUCUCCAAUCUCAAAGUAUUUUUUAUGUCUUUUUAUGGUAGAUAUACGUUCUGUUCGUUUCUGGAUGUCAUCGUAAAUUGAAUUAUUAUUUUCAACGUUCCCAAGGGCUAACAGCCUGUUGAAAAACACUGGUCUCUGUUCGGAAAGGUAUUGGUUUACGCAAAUUAGAUUGGACAAUUGAGCAUUUCCAAAGUACAGACUUCCUUCGAUGUUUUCCAUCUCAAUUGAUAGCAUAUUCAAGGAGUACGUUUGAAGAAAAUUUUUAACUUCAUUAAACGUUGCUUGAUACAUUAAAAUGUGAUUACAGAGUUUUAUUUUAGACGAUAAAUUUUUCAAAAGAAGUGAAUGAACAUCGUAAAAAUAAUCCUGGAUCUUUGAGGGAACAAGAAAAUCAUACUCCCAAUUCACCAAUGAUUUUUCAUAAAUCUCUCGCUUCAUGUCUUUCGCGGCAGAAUUUGAAAUUGUCAAAAACGUUCGAUGUUCUAAAUAAGCAAAAUUUUUAAUGGAUUUGUCCAGUUCCUUAACCAAAAAGUUCAGAGAGCUUCUCCAUGAUCGAAUGCGAAACCUCUGUUUUCUGUUUUUCUUCCCGUUGAAUACUGUUAUGACCGGCAAGGAAAGAAAGGUUUCUUCAACCAUAUGAUUACUACCCGUAGGGAGUUUGUUAACUAUGUCUUCUAUUUCCAGCUUCUUACAAUUUAUCAAUUGUUGUACGGCGAAAACGCGGCGUACGAGAUCAUUCCAAACAAGGCAAAAAUCGCUAUGUACCUCAAAGUACCACUCUGGUAAAUUAUCUUCACACAACGAACAUAAUUUUCCUGAAGGAGGAGGAACGUGUAUAUAAUUGUAUUUGAUUAUUCCGAGCAAAUGAUCAUGAAGAAUGAAGGCACCAAUCCCUAACGUGUUAAACAGGAUGAAAUCCAUUUCGUUGAUCACGGACCGUUGUGGAUAUAAAUAUUUUCCUGCCCACAAAACCCUUGUAUCUUUACCAUACAAUGAGUCUACUAGAAUGCCUCGAAAAAGCAUUCUAAUAUACGUCUUUCCCUCAAAUGGAGCUUUGGCUUGUUGAAUAUAAUAAUUAGGACUGCGUAUUGGAUUACAUCUGAGAAAAGCAAAGACAUGUGCAACUGAUAUGCUUUUUCUGAAAAGAUUAUCGGUUGCUUUCUUCAUUAAGUGUUCAUCAUCGCUUUGAAGAUACUCAUAGAAACUACAUUGAAAUAAAUCUCCUUCGUAGCCGAUUAAUUCAAAAAAUGCAGGAUUGGCAUAUUCCACUAUUCCAUUUUUUGACAUUUCAAUUUUCAGCAGAACUUCGUGGGAAAGUAUCCUCUUCAAUUGCUCUGGAUUAGUCAUUGUUUAUCAUAAUUGAACACUUUAAGCUUCUUGGUAUAAAAGAAAUUGUAUUCAAAGUUGUGUAAAAUCAAUGCAAAUGGUUCUUACGCGAUAGUUUUUCGGCAAAGACUUUUAAUAGUUUGUAAGACUCGUAUAAUUUAAAUACCUUUUUUUACUUAUGAAGCGGAAUUGUUGUUGUAUACAAUGUUUUCGUUAUUAUAACAUCAUCAAUUUAUUACUUGGCUUUAUUAAAUUCGCCAACUAAUAUGCUAAUUCAUAAUGAGAUCACAAUUUGAACGAGC